rnacentral:rRNA from 1 species
GAUGAACGCUGGCGGCGUGCUUAACACAUGCAAGUCGAACGGAAAGGCCCAAGCUUGCUUGGGUACUCGAGUGGCGAACGGGUGAGUAACACGUGGGUGAUCUGCCCUGCACUUCGGGAUAAGCCUGGGAAACUGGGUCUAAUACCGGAUAGGACGAUGGUUUGGAUGCCAUUGUGGAAAGUUUUUUCGGUGUGGGAUGAGCUCGCGGCCUAUCAGCUUGUUCGUGGGGUAAUGGCCUACCAAGGCGUCGACGGGUAGCCGGCCUGAGAGGGUGUACGGCCCCAUUGGGACUUGGGAUAGGGCCAGACUCCUACGGGAGGCAGCAGUGGGGAAUAUUGCACAAUGGGCGCAAGCCUGAUGCAGCGACGCCGCGUGGGGGAUGACGGCCUUCGGGUUGUAAACUCCUUUCGCUAGGGACGAAGCGUUUUUGUGACGGUACCUGGAGAAGAAGCACCGGCUAACUACGU